rnacentral:rRNA from 1 species
AUUGAACGCUGGCGGCAGGCCUAAUACAUGCAAGUCGAACGAGUGGCGGACGGGUGAGUAAUGCUUGGGAAUCUCGCUUAUGGCGGGGGAUAACUACGGGAAACUGUAGCCAAUACCGCGUACCAUAGGAUGAUCCCAAGUGGGAUUAGGUAGUUGGUGAGGUAAAGGCUCACCAAGCCGACGAUCUCUAGCUGGUCUGAGAGGAUGACCAGCCACACUGGAACUGGGACACGGCCCAGACUCCUACGGGAGGCAGCAGUGGGGAAUAUUGCGCAAUGGGGGCAACCUGACGCAGCCAUGCCGCGUGAAUGAUGAAGGCCUUCGGGUUGUAAAGUUCUUUCGGUAGCGAGGCGUUAACUACAGAGAAAGCACCGGCUAACUCCGUGCCAGCAGCCGCGGUAAUAC